rnacentral:rRNA from 1 species
GACGAACGCUGGCGGCGUGCUUAACACAUGCAAGUCGAACGGAAAGGCCCCUUUGGGGGUACUCGAGUGGCGAACGGGUGAGUAACACGUGAGUAACCUGCCCUUGACUUCGGGAUAACUUCAGGAAACUGGGGCUAAUACCGGAUAGGAAUCCUUGCUGCAUGGUGGGGGUUGGAAAGCUUCGGCGGUUUUGGAUGGACUCGCGGCUUAUCAGCUUGUUGGUGGGGUAGUGGCUUACCAAGGCUUUGACGGGUAGCCGGCCUGAGGGGGGGACCGGCCACCUUGGGUCUGACGGUAGGCCCCAGCGGCUAACGGAGGACACCGGGGGGAAGUAUGCACCAAUGGCGGGAAGCGUGUGCAGGAAGCCCCCGGUGCGGAAUGCCGGCUUCGGGGUGUGAAACGGCUUUAAGCAGGGCCGAAGCUGUUGUGACGGUACCCUCAGAAUAAGCCACGGCUAACUUCGUG